GCGUGGAUGAUGUGGAUUAAUUCGAUGCAACGCGAAGAACCUUACUACCCUUGACAUGUCCGGAACUUGCCAGAGAUGGCUUGGUGCCCGAAAGGGAAUCGGAACACAGGUGCUGCAUGGCUGUCGUCAGCUCGUGUCGUGAGAUGUUGGGUUAAGUCCCGCAACGAGCGCAACCCUUAUCAUUAGUUGCUACGCAAGGGCACUCUAAUGAGACUGCCGGUGACAAACCGGAGGAAGGUGGGGAUGACGUCAAGUCCUCAUGGCCCUUAUCGGGUAGGGCUUCACACGUCAUACAAUGGUCGGUACAGAGGGUUGCCAAGCCGCGAGGCGGGAGCCAAUCCCACAAAGCCGAUCGUAGUCCGGAUUGUUCUCUGCAACUCGAGAGCAUGAAGUCGGAAUCGCUAGUAAUCGCAGGUCAGCAUACUGCGGUGAAUACGUUCCCGGGUCUU
rnacentral:rRNA from 1 species